UACGUAGGCAGCAAGCGUUGUUCGGAAUUACUGGGCGUGAAGCGCGUGUAGGCGGCUAAGUAAGUCGGGCGUGAAAUCCCACGGCUCAACCGUGGAAGUGCACUCGAAACUGCGUAGCUAGAGUCCUGGAGAGGAAGGUGGAAUGCUUGGUGUAGAGGUGAAAUUCGUAGAUAUCAAGCGGAACACCGGUGGCGAAGGCGGCCUUCUGGACAGUGACUGACGCUGAGACGCGAAAGCGUGGGGAGCAAACAGG
rnacentral:rRNA from 1 species